GCCCCACUAGCUCAGUUGGUAGAGCAUGAGACUCUUAAUCUCAGGGUUGUGGGUUUGAGCCCCACUUUGGGCG